rnacentral:SRP_RNA from 4 species
CCGUCGGCCCCUCGCGACGCUAGGUCGAAAACCCCGCCAGGGCCGGAAGGCAGCAACGGUAUCGACUGACGCGGGCGCCGAGGCCAGCCGG